rnacentral:rRNA from 1 species
CAGUAGCCACGGGAAUACGUAGGGUGCGAGCGUUAAUCGGAAUUACUGGGCGUAAAGCGUGCGCAGGCGGUUUUGUAAGACAGGCGUGAAAUCCCCGGGCUCAACCUGGGAAUGGCGCUUGUGACUGCAAAGCUAGAGUGCGGCAGAGGGGGAUGGAAUUCCGCGUGUAGCAGUGAAAUGCGUAGAUAUGCGGAGGAACACCGAUGGCGAAGGCAAUCCCCUGGGCCUGCACUGACGCUCAUGCACGAAAGCGUGGGGAGCAAACAGGAUUAGAUACCCUGUAGUCCCUGUCUCUUAUACC